rnacentral:tRNA from 1 species
GGUUCCAUAGUGUAGCGGUUAGCACAUCUGCUUUACACGCAGAAUUUCCUGGGUUCGCCCCCUAGUGGAGCAA